AGCAGCCGCGGUAAUUCCAGCUCCAAUAGCGUAUAUUAAAGUUGUUGCAGUUAAAAAGCUCGUAGUUGAAUUUCGGGAUCAACACGUCGGUCGUGCCUUCGGUACGCACUAGCGUCGUUGGUUCCUCCCUUCUGACGAACCAUGAUGUCAUUAACUUGGUGUUUUGGGGAGUUAGGACUGUUACUUUGAAAAAAUUAGAGUGUUUAAAGCAGGCAAUCGCUUGAAUACAUUAGCAUGGAAUAAUGAAAUAGGACGUUCGAUCCUAUUUCGUUGGUUUCUAGGAUCAACGUAAUGAUUAAUAGGGAUAGUUGGGGGCAUUAGUAUUCAAUUGUCAGAGGUGAAAUUCUUGGAUUUAUUGAAGACUAACUACUGCGAAAGCAUUUGCCAAGGAUGUUUUCAUUAAUCAAGAACGAAAGUUAGGGGAUCGAAGACGAUCAGAUACCGUCGUAGUCUUAACCAUAAACUAUGCCGACUAGGGAUCGGAUGAUGUUAAUUUUUAAUGACUCAUUCGGCGUCUUAC
rnacentral:rRNA from 1 species